AGAGUUUGAUCCUGGCUCAGGAUGAACGCUGGCGGCGUGCCUAACACAUGCAAGUCGAGCGAAGCGGUCUGGAGGAAGUUUUCGGAUGGAAUCCGGAUUGACUGAGCGGCGGACGGGUGAGUAACGCGUGGGUAACCUGCCUCAUACAGGGGGAUAACAGUUAGAAAUGGCUGCUAAUACCGCAUAAGCGCACAGCUUCGCAUGGAGCAGUGUGAAAAACUCCGGUGGUAUGAGAUGGACCCGCGUCUGAUUAGCUAGUUGGUAAGGUAACGGCUUACCAAGGCGACGAUCAGUAGCCGACCUGAGAGGGUGACCGGCCACAUUGGGACUGAGACACGGCCCAAACUCCUACGGGAGGCAGCAGUGGGGAAUAUUGCACAAUGGGGGAAACCCUGAUGCAGCGACGCCGCGUGAGUGAAGAAGUAUUUCGGUAUGUAAAGCUCUAUCAGCAGGGAAGAAAAUGACGGUACCUGACUAAGAAGCCCCGGCUAACUACGUGCCAGCAGCCGCGGUAAUACGUAGGGGGCAAGCGUUAUCCGGAUUUACUGGGUGUAAAGGGAGCGUAGACGGCAUGGCAAGUCUGAAGUGAAAACCCAGGGCUCAACCCUGGGACUGCUUUGGAAACUGUCAAGCUAGAGUGCAGGAGAGGUAAGUGGAAUUCCUAGUGUAGCGGUGAAAUGCGUAGAUAUUAGGAGGAACACCAGUGGCGAAGGCGGCUUACUGGACUGUAACUGACGUUGAGGCUCGAAAGCGUGGGGAGCAAACAGGAUUAGAUACCCUGGUAGUCCACGCCGUAAACG
rnacentral:rRNA from 1 species